rnacentral:rRNA from 1 species
UACGAAGGGGGCUAGCGUUGCUCGGAAUUACUGGGCGUAAAGCGCACGUAGGCGGCUUUCUAAGUCGGGGGUGAAAUCCUGGAGCUCAACUCCAGAACUGCCUUCGAUACUGGAAAGCUCGAGUCCGGGAGAGGUGAGUGGAACUGCGAGUGUAGAGGUGAAAUUCGUAGAUAUUCGCAAGAACACCAGUGGCGAAGGCGGCGCACUGGCCCGGUACUGACGCUGAGGUGCGAAAGCGUGGGGAGCAAACAGG